AUGGUUGCUGUGGGUGAAGUUGCUGAGCAGCAGCUCUCAGUCAUGAAGUGUUCAAGUCACAGGGCUAUAAACACUCGCAGAGCACUGAAGCAUGGACUGAAUGUAUCACUGUGGUACACUUUUGGUGGAGGCUCCAAACUCGUGGUGAACACGGGUACCACAGCUCCCUCCGUGUCUCUGCUCCCUCCGUCCCCUCUGCAGGUGUCUGAGGGAUCGGCCUCGCUGCUCUGCCUGCUGUCUGGCUACUCUCCACAGGGGGCGCUGGUGAGCUGGACAGUGGACGGCUCAGAGGUGAAGAACGAGGUUCUGACCAGCGCAGAAGAACAGAAGAACGGCCGUUACAGCCGCAGCAGCACUCUGAGCCUGAGCAAAGACCUCUGGGAAAAGGGGGAGGAGUUCAGCUGUAGGGUCUCCCAUAACAACGUCGUUCAUCCGGUCACGUUCAGAAAGAGUCAGUGUGAAGGCUAGUGGAUCCAAGAUAGAGUUUAACAUAGAGCUGCUUAUGAUCCAUCUACAAUAGAGUUUCAAUUCUACACAAUGCUGACAUUUCUGUCUUUACUCUCUUCACUGUCCUGUUGCUCUUCCUGUAGUUUUUGCUGAAAUAAAGCUGAGUUUUGGA